rnacentral:lncRNA from 1 species
UGGCCUGAGCGCAUUUACGCACUCGAUCGAGCAUCUCGUCAUAGGUGUUCAAAAAAUUCUUAUUCAAAGGAAAGACCAGACGGUUGCUCCGAAGUCCCAUUUUCAAAGCAAACAUGGCAAUUGAUUCAUUGAAACUUUUUACUUUCAAGGUGGCUGUGUUGAAAUGAGUCACAUAUUUCUGGAGGUCCUCUCCCUUCUAUUGUCGAACAGAGAAAAGGC